GGAAGGAAAGAUCAUCUGCAGUACGCGGGUAGGGUCAUAGUGUUCUCUGUUGCUGUAGAAAGAUAAUGAGCAAGCCCAGACUCAUAGGUUAGGGCGUGAGGGAAGGAAUGAACAAAAUGUGCUCCGUUCUGAAGGACACUUUCUCCUUUCCCAUAGUGAUAGUAAUGACCUCCUUUCCCAUAGUGAUAGUAAUGACCUCUUAAGAUAGAAUGACUGAGUAUAAAAGGUAAGGUAAGGAAAUCCCAUCUCCUCUGUAUUCCAAUUGAAAAGCAGGUCUUAAGCCAGCAUUGAGUUCCUCCGGACUAAAGGAUUACUGUAGCUUUCUUUACAUUCUCGUAAGCACAACCAAACUAUUCCCAUUCCUUAAGCUCGCUAGCAUACCGUCUUUCUAGCUUGAAUAGUGAAAAACGAGCAUCUAUCUUUGUAAAGAGAAAGGCUCCUCCUGAUCUUGGGAAGAAGAA
rnacentral:lncRNA from 1 species